GUGUGCAACAUAUGUCAAUAAGACUGUAUCCCAACAACACAACAAAACAAAAAUGUUAAUAAGAAAAACAGACAAAAAAUAAUAGAGAAUGAGAGAGAAUGCAAACAGAUUUUGGCAGUAUAAAAUACCAUGUUUUCAUUUGUAAAAAGAAAUAUAAAGUUUUCAUAAUCAGUGUCCAGAAAUUAGAACGUCAAAUUUUGAGGACUGCAUGCAAAUAAAAGCAACCUAUAUGUUGUCAGAGCUACCUUCAAAAAUAAUAAAUUCAGAGCUCUUCAGAAUUGAAGAAGAAAAUUUAGAAAAGAAAGAUUUAAAAUAUGUGCGUCAGUCAUUGUAUAAAGAGAGAAGAAAACUGCGGCCGGCUUAACUUAAAAAUCAAGCAGAAUUUCACAGAAUAUUGGAUGGUAUAGCUGUUGUUACAAACAAAGAUGAUGACUUUGUAUUGUGUAACUAUCCAGAAAGCGGG
rnacentral:lncRNA from 1 species